AUUGAACGCUGGCGGCAUGCCUUACACAUGCAAGUCGAACGGUAACAGGUCUUCGGAUGCUGACGAGUGGCGAACGGGUGAGUAAUACAUCGGAACGUGCCUAGUAGUGGGGGAUAACUACUCGAAAGAGUGGCUAAUACCGCAUGAGAUCUACGGAUGAAAGCAGGGGAUCGCAAGACCUUGUGCUACUAGAGCGGCCGAUGGCAGAUUAGGUAGUUGGUGGGAUAAAAGCUUACCAAGCCGACGAUCUGUAGCUGGUCUGAGAGGACGAUCAGCCACACUGGGACUGAGACACGGCCCAGACUCCUACGGGAGGCAGCAGUGGGGAAUUUUGGACAAUGGGCGCAAGCCUGAUCCAGCAAUGCCGCGUGCAGGAUGAAGGCCUUCGGUUGU
rnacentral:rRNA from 1 species